AAGAACAAAGGGAAAAAGGAAGAGAACAAACCCUAGGUGGGGAAUUUGAAGACAAAAAGUGUGGAAAAUCAAGGAAAAUAAGUGAAAAAGGUAAGAUUUUUCAAUUUAAAUUUGAAAUCUAUUUUCCUUAAGCAUUUCUCCUUAUUUUUCAUGGUUAAAUUACAUAUUUUCAUGAUGAAUUCAUGGCUAGUCAAAAUGGGUAUGGAGAGAGAAAGAUGUUGGAUUGAUUUGAUUUUAAGUUAUGUUAGUGUUUUUAGUUAGUUUAUCAUAUUUAGAAGCAAAACAACAAGAAAAGAAUCCAUUUUUUCCAUGAAUCUUCAUUGGCCGAAUAUUCCUUGAUAUGAGUGAGAGAUCGAUUGUUAUUAUUUCAAGAGAAAUGGCUUAGAAAAUGAUGAAUAAUGGUGAGAAAAUUAAGUAGGAAAAAUCACGGUAUUAGUGCACUGUAAUGGCCGAAUUUUUCCAUGAAAAAAUGGGAAGGUUUUGAUGCUGAAAUUGGUGCUAUUUGAAUAAUGUUUGGUGAAUUGAGGUAUUAGAAAAGAAAUGGAGUAAUUUGGGAUUAAAUUAGACAUGUUAGUAAUUUAAUCGGGUGAUAAUACGAAGGCUAAAACCGGAUUUAGAUAGUUACCAGUACAUUUUUGCAUUCCAUAUCAUGUAUUAGUAGUCUAAAUUAGUUUAAUUUCAAUUUAGUACCAAUGUGGUGAAUUUCUCGAAUUUGUACUGUGUUAAAGUGGUGAGUCCUCCGAAAAAGGUAAGGGAAUUGCACUCGAGGAUCAGUAAUCUGAGUACUUCGAAAAUCCCCAUUCUAAACAUUGUGAGUAACCUUACCAUUAUUUUAAUUAUCUAAAGUAUGUUUUUAGUCGGUUUUAGUGAAAUUUUAUGAAAAUAAGUUUAAAUGAUAAAUCUUUGUGUUUUACAAACAAAAUGUGUUUAUAUAAAAAGAUUUUAUAAAUUGUUUUGAAAUUGAAUAAUGAUUUUGAAAAAUAGAGUAAUUAGAGACCACCGGUAUGUUGUAAAUUUAUGAUUGGAAAUUGAUAGCUUAUGUUACAUUGUUAUUAUGUUGGCAUGACUAGCUGGGCUGUGUUUUAUGAAUUGUACGAAUUGUUUUAUUUUAUCCUUGUAGACUGGGUAGUAAAAUAUUAGCCCUGUCAUGCUGUAAAAAUUUUAUUGUAUGGUGGGUUUAGCUUGCUGCAGUAGGCGGAUUCUGUAGACCAGCUUAUUAGAGGGGCACAUAAUCCGGAUAUAUAUAUAUAUGUACCUCGGUCGGAGAGGCGCGUAGGGUAUUUCCUGAGGUAUGGAUAGAAAUCACGUCACGUCGAACCACAUCGUGAUGAUGAAUCUCGCUAACGCCAAGGAACGGCUGUGUUUUUCAAACUAAUAAUUUGAUUACGUGUAUACAAAAUUUUUAACAGCCUUGGUGGACUCGGUUAGAUGCCUCGGUCAAGGUAUCCCUGAGAAUGAUUUUGGUAUGAGCCAAGCUUUUAAAAUACUCAUAAGCCAUCUUGAUUAUUUAAAUGAAAUGAGUAUUUAUGUUAUGAAAAAUAUAUUUAGAUGAAAUGUUUUAAUAGUCUCAUUUUACUCGACUUUAGAUCUUUUAAAUGAUGUUUGUUUACUCACUGGGAUUAUAAAAUCUCACCACUCUCCUUUCCUUCAAUUUCAGGUUCAGAAUAGGUUGUAAAUAGCUGAUUUCAUCGAUGACUACCGUUGGAAUUGCAUUUUCCAAACUAUAGGUUCACAAUCCUCUUUACUUUUGUUUAUUUGGGAAGCCCACUUGUUAUUGUAAAUUAAAUUAAAUACUCUGACUUACUGUAUUACAGUAUGUAUGAAUUUAUUUAACUUUUACGCUACAAAAAUUAUUUACGUAUAAC
rnacentral:lncRNA from 1 species